UACGUAGGCAGCAAGCGUUGUUCGGAGUUACUGGGCGUAAAGGGUGUGUAGGCGGUUGGAUAAGUGGGGUGUGAAGUCUCCCGGCUUAACUGGGAGGGUGCGCUACAAACUGUCUGACUAGAGUGUGGGAUGGGUAAGUGGAAUUCCUGGUGUAGCGGUGAAAUGCGUAGAUAUCCGGAGGAACACCAAAGGCGAAGGCAGUGUCCUGGGGAGUACCUGACGCUCAGGUGCGAAAGCCAGGGGAGCGAACGGG
rnacentral:rRNA from 1 species